rnacentral:rRNA from 1 species
UACGUAGGUGGCGAGCGUUGUCCGGAAUUACUGGGUGUAAAGCGCGUGUAGGCGGGAGGCCAAGUCUGCGGUGAAAUCGCUCGGCUCAACUGGGCGGGGUCCGUGGAAACUGGUCACCUGGAGGACGGUAGAGGCGAGUGGAAUUCCCGGUGUAGUGGUGAAAUGCGUAGAGAUCGGGAGGAACACCAGUGGCGAAGGCGGCGACCUGGGUCGAGACUGACGCUGAGGCGCGAAAGCGUGGGGAGCAAACAGGG